GGAAGUAUACCGAAGUUGAGGAAUCGGGGCAAACUCAAGGAACGAAUUGAAUUCCUUAAAAUGAAAAGAUACGGGAUUAAAAAUCUGUGCUGGCAGCUGAGCAGGUUCGAAUCCUGCUACUUCCA
rnacentral:tRNA from 1 species